GUUGUAACGGCCAGGUAUUUGAUAGCCCAGCCUCACUGUUUAUUUCCCACAUGCUCGAGUAAUAAUCAUGUGUGCGUCCUGCUCACGAGUACACGCCCCGUUUUUUUUUCAUCUCUUACCUUAUUCGUCUGUUGUUCGCGUCACCACUGAAAUUGCCUCCUUCCUCCUUCCUGGAGAAUGGCAGCUGUUUGCUGUCUACUGGGGUGAGCAGACGCCACUGUUGCGCGGCCAGUGGACUGAGCCAUCUUGCCCAGGGAGCGAUUUCGGGGACCAGGAGGGACUGAUAACAGAGUGCGGUAGUACGAGGAUAUGUGGAGUAGGAGAAACUUGCAGAGAAUCGGAGAAAACCGGCAAGUAAAGAAACAAACAGCCUGGUUCCUCUUCUGCUUCUGCGACGUCAUAGCGCCUGAUUGGCGUGUCGUAGUGACGUUCCAAACCCGAUUAACUGCCAGUGUGUAGCCUCUGUUGGGUCUGACUUCUGCGUAACGUGACACGGGUCACGUGAUCAGUACCUCUCCUUUACUGUUGUGGAGCUUUGUGUGUGUGGGCUGAAGGGCACCAAGGAAGAAAAGGACACUGGUGGGGGGGAGAAAACAGGAAAAAUGUGUUGAAAGUAUUGUCUGUGGCCAUCAAUGUAUUCAAUAUAUAAUGCAAACUUGAUUUCUGUCUUGUUGCUGGUUUUUUUUUAUUGUUUAUUAUCUUUGUGACACUCUCUAAGUAAAGGGCAUGCAUAGUG